rnacentral:tRNA from 1 species
GAGGGUGUAGCUCAGUUGGUUAGAGCGUCAGAUUGUGGCUCUGAAGGCCGUGGGUUCGAGUCCCAUCAUCCUCCCA